rnacentral:rRNA from 1 species
ACCGGCGGCUCGAGUGGUGGCCACUAUUACUGGGCUUAAAGCGUUCGUAGCUGGCUUGUUAAGUCUCUGGGGAAAUCUUCCGGCAAAAAAGGAAGGCGAGAAAGGGAUACUGGCAGGCUAGGGACCGGAAGAGGUGAGAGGUACUCCAGGUUUCUGAGUGCCAUCCUCUUCUCCUUCUUUUCCCUCCUUUUUCUUAUUCCUCUCCCCCUUUUUUUUUCUUCUGUUAGGAACGAAAGCUGGGGGAGCAAACUU